AGUGAACGCUGGCGGCAGGCCUAACACAUGCAAGUCGAACGACCUCUUCGGUUUUAGUGGCGUAUGGGCGCGUAACAUGUGGGAACGUGCCUUAUGCAUUGGUAUAAUUUAGGGUAACUUCUGCCAAUAGCCGACGGGCUCACGCGGGGAAACAUUCAUCGCCAUUAGAGCGGCCCGCGUCAGAUUAGUUAGUUGGUGAGGUAACGGCUCACCAAGGCGACGAUCAGUAGCUGGUCUGAGAGGAUGACCAGCCACACUGGGACUGAGACACGGCCCAGACUCCUACGGGAGGCAGCAGUGGGGAAUCUUGCGCAAUGGGCGAAAGCCUGACGCAGCCAUGCCGCGUGAAUGAUGAAGGUCUUAGGAUUGUAAAAUUCUUUCACCGGGGACGAUAAUGACGGUACCCGGAGAAGAAGCCCCGGCUAACUUCGUG
rnacentral:rRNA from 1 species